rnacentral:rRNA from 1 species
GACGAACGCUGGCGGCGUGCUUAACACAUGCAAGUCGAACGGAAAGGCCCUGCUUUUGUGGGGUGCUCGAGUGGCGAACGGGUGAGUAACCCGUGAGUAACCUGCCCUUGACUUUGGGAUAACUUCAGGAAACUGGGGCUAAUACCGGAUAGGAGCUCCUGCUGCAUGGUGGGGGUUGGAAAGUUUCGGCGGUUGGGGAUGGACUUGCGGCUUAUCAGCUUGUUGGGGGGGUAGUUGCCUACCAAGGCUUCGACGGGUAGCCGGCCUGAGAGGGGGACCGGCCACAUUGGGACUGAGAUACGGCCCAGACGCCUACGGGAGGCAGCAGGGGGAAAUAUUGCACAAUGGGCGGAAGCCUGAUGCAGCAACGCCGCGUGCGGGAUGACGGCCUUCGGGGUGUAAACCGCUUUCGCCUGUGACGAAGCGUGAGUGACGGUAAUGGGUAAAGAAGCACCGGCUAACUACGUG